CCUACGGGUGGCAGCAGUCGAGAAUUUUUCUCAAUGGGGGAAACCCUGAAGGAGCGACGCCGCGUGGGGGAUGAAUGGCUUCGGCCCGUAAACCCCUGUCAUUUGCGAUCAAACCUUACGACCUAACACGUCGUAAGCUGAUAGUAGCGGAAGAGGAAGGGACGGCUAACUCUGUGCCAGCAGCCGCGGUAAUACAGAGGUCCCAAGCGUUGUUCGGAUUCACUGGGCGUAAAGGGUGCGUAGGCGGUCGGGUAAGUCUGACGUGAAAUCUUCAAGCUUAACUUGGAAACUGCGUCGGAUACUAUUCGGCUAGAGGAAUGGAGGGGAGACUGGAAUACUUGGUGUAGCAGUGAAAUGCGUAGAUAUCAAGUGGAACACCAGUGGCGAAGGCGAGUCUCUGGACAUUUCCUGACGCUGAGGCACGAAAGCCAGGGGAGCAAACGGGAUUAGAUACCCCGGUAGUC
rnacentral:misc_RNA from 1 species